GACGAACGCUGGCGGCGUGCCUUAGACAUGCAAGUCGAACGGAGUAGCAAUACUCAGUGGCGAACGGCGGAGUAAUGCAUAAGCAACGUGCCCCAAAGACUGGGAUAGUCGAGGGAAACCACGGGUAAUACCAGAUGUGGUCCUUAGAUGGCAUCAUCGAGGGAUUAAAUCGAGCAAUCGGCUUUGGGAGCGGCUUAUGUCCUAUCAGCUUGUUGGUGAGGUAACGGCUCACCAAGGCUACGACGGGUAGGGGGUCUGAGAGGAUGAUCCCCCCGAGUGGGACUGCGACACGGCCCACACACCUACGGGUGGCAGCAGUUUGGAAUAUUGCACAAUGGGGGAAACCCUGAUGCAGCGACGCCGCGUGGAGGACGAAGGAUCUAGGUCUGUAAACUCCUUUUGCCAGGAAAGACUUAGGACGGUACCUGGCGAAUAAGCCCCGGCUAACUACGUGCCAGCAGCCGCGGUAAGACGUAGGGGGCGAGCGUUGUCCGGAUUUACUGGGCGUAAAGAGCGCGUAGGCGGCUAGUUAAGUGAGAAGUGAAAUCUCCAGGGCUCAACCCGGAAACUGCUUUUCAUACUGGCCAGCUGGAGGGACGCAGGGGUGACUGGAAUUCCCGGUGUAGCGGUGAAAUGCAUUGAUAUCGGGAGGAACUCCAACAGCGAAGGCAGGUCACUGGGCGUUUCCUGACGCUGAGGCGCGAAAGCGUGGGUAGCAAACAGGAUUAGAUACCCUGGUAGUCCACGCCCUAAACGAUGGAUACUAGACGUAGAGGUAUCGACCCCUCUUGUGUCGCAGCUAACGCAUUAAGUAUCCCGCCUGGGGAGUACGGCCGCAAGGUGAAACUCAAUGAAUUGACGGGGACCCGCACAAGCGGUGGAGCAUGUGGAUUAAUUCGAUACUAACCGAAGAACCUUACCCAGGUUUGACAUCGAUGGUAAGCCCGAGAGAUCGGGCCCUCUCUCACAAGGAGACCUGAAGACAGAUGUUGCAUGGCUGUCGUCAGCUCGUGCCGUGAGGUGUACGGUUAAGUCCGCCAACGAGCGCAACCCUCGUCCUAUGUUGCCAGCGAGUAAUGUCGGGAACUCAUAGGAGACCGCCGGUGUAAGCCGGAGGAAGGUGGGGAUGAUGUCAAGUCAGCAUGGCUCUUACGCCUGGGGCUUCACACAUGCUACAAUGGGCGCAACAAAGGGCACCGAAGCCGUGAGGUGGAGGCAAUCCCAAAAAUACGCCCCCAGUUCAGAUUGCAGUCUGCAACUCGACUGCAUGAAGGCGGAAUCGCUAGUAAACGCAGGUCAGCUAUACUGCGUUGAAUACGUUCCCGGGUCUUGUACACACCGCCCGUCAAGUCACCUGAAUUGUCUUCACCCGAAGUCCGUGGCCUAACCGUAAGGAGGGAGCGGCCGAAGGUGAGGGGAGUAAGGGGGACUA
rnacentral:rRNA from 1 species